CUGUGCUGCUCCAAAGUGCGCUAUAUAAGGUCAUUCCUACCCUUGGACAUUGGGGUCUAUAAUGAGUCAACCUAAAUCUGGGGAAGUGAUGACCCUCUUCUGUUGGACCGUUUGAGCAAUAAGAAGAGAUUACAUCCUGUGUGAUGGGAGCCCUUAAUGAUGGGUGCUGCCGUUUUGAUACAUCGCCUUUUGAAGAUGUCCAUGAUGUUGGGGAGGAAAGGAAGAUGUGGUGAUAUCACGUGCAAUGAUGUGCCAGUACAUGAUUGGACAGAGCACUGAGCAUGUCCGGGAUUGCCAGAAUGUCCCAGCACGUGGC